rnacentral:tRNA from 1 species
AAGUAGUGAAGUAAUAAUUACAGUUAGUUUCGACCUAAAAAUCAGAGAAAGCUCUCCUUACUUA